UAGCCUAGUGGCUAAGGCUAUGGAUUGCCAAUCCGGAGACGGUGGGUUCGAUUCUCGU
rfam:Aedes albopictus isolate Foshan contig33744, whole genome shotgun sequence.